GCGGAAUUAGUUCAGUGGUAGAACGCUAUCCUUCCAAGUUAGAUGUCAGGGGUUCGAGUCCCCUAUUCCGCU
rnacentral:tRNA from 1 species